CUUCGGAAGAGAGCGGCGGACGGGUGAGUAACGCGUGGGUAACCUGCCCUGUACACACGGAUAACAUACCGAAAGGUAUGCUAAUACGGGAUAACAUAAGAAAUUCGCAUGUUUUUCUUAUCAAAGCUCCGGCGGUACAGGAUGGACCCGCGUCUGAUUAGCUAGUUGGUGAGGUAACGGCUCACCAAGGCGACGAUCAGUAGCCGACCUGAGAGGGUGAUCGGCCACAUUGGAACUGAGACACGGUCCAAACUCCUACGGGAGGCAGCAGUGGGGAAUAUUGCACAAUGGGCGAAAGCCUGAUGCAGCAACGCCGCGUGAGCGAUGAAGGCCUUCGGGUCGUAAAGCUCUGUCCUCAAGGAAGAUAAUGACGGUACUUGAGGAGGAAGCCCCGGCUAACUACGUGCCAGCAGCCGCGGUAAUACGUAGGGGGCUAGCGUUAUCCGGAUUUACUGGGCGUAAAGGGUGCGUAGGCGGUCUUUUAAGUCAGGAGUGAAAGGCUACGGCUCAACCGUAGUAAGCUCUUGAAACUGGAGGACUUGAGUGCAGGAGAGGAGAGUGGAAUUCCUAGUGUAGCGGUGAAAUGCGUAGAUAUUAGGAGGAAC
rnacentral:rRNA from 1 species